rnacentral:rRNA from 1 species
CGAACCGUGCAAACGUUGUUCGGAAUCACUGGGCUUAAAGGGCGCGUAGGCGGGGGACCAAGUCCGGGGUGAAAUCUUUCGGCUCAACCGGAAAACUGCCUUGGAUACUGGUCUUCUUGAGGGAGGUAGGGGCAGGUGGAACUUCCGGUGGAGCGGUGAAAUGCGUUGAUAUCGGAAGGAACGCCGGUGGCGAAAGCGGCCUGCUGGAUCUCUUCUGACGCUGAGGCGCGAAAGCUAGGGGAGCGAACGGGAUUAGAUACCCCGGUAGUCCUAGCCCUAAACGAUGGGUACUAGGUUGCGGACUUGACAUGGGUUCGCAGCCGAAGCAAAAGUGUUAAGUACCCCGCCUGGGGAGUAUGGUCGCAAGGCUG